GACGAACGCUGGCGGCGUGCUUAACACAUGCAAGUCGAACGGUAAGGCCCUUCGGGGUACACGAGUGGCGAACGGGUGAGGAACACGUGGGUGAUCUGCCCUGCACUUCGGGUUAAGCCUGGGAAACUGGGUCUAAUACCGGAUAGGACCACUGCCUGCAUGGGUGGUGGUGGAAAGCUUUUGCGGUGUGGGAUGGGCCCGCGGCCGAUCAGCUUGUGGGUGGGGUGAGGGCCUACCAAGGCGACGACGGGUAGCUGGCCUGGGAGGGUGACCGGCCACACUGGGACUGAGAUACAGCCCAGACUCCUACAGGAGGCAGCAGUGGGGAAUAUUGCGCAAUGGGCGCAAGCCUGAGGCAGCGACGCCGCGUGAGGGAUGACGGCCUUCGGGUUGUAAACCUCUUUCAGCACAGACGAAGCGCAAGUGACGGUAUGUGCAGAAGAAGGACCGGCCAACUACGUGCCAGCAGCCGCCGUAA
rnacentral:rRNA from 1 species